UCUCCGUUGGUGAACCAGCGGAGGGAUCAUUACUGAGUGAGGGUAUCCGGGCCCGACCUCCAACCCUUUGUGAAUCGUACUCGUUGCUUCGGGGGCGACCCUGCCGUCCGCGGCUGAGCGCCCCCGGGGUCAAUCAAACACUGCGUCAAUUUGUGUCGGAGUACUUGUUAAUGAACAAAACUUUCAACAACGGAUCUCUUGGUUCUGGCAUCGAUGAAGAACGCAGC
rnacentral:misc_RNA from 1 species